GGGGCGUCGGCGGCGCCUGGGGCCUGAGGAGGUGUCGUUGCCUCGGGCUUCGCUGAGGGAGCACCUCUGGCCCGGUGCGCCGCCGGCCGCGCGGGCACCGCUGCCGCCGGGGACGGGAUGUGACCUUCCCCUGCGUGGAAAAACUCAAGACCUCAGAACAUGGGGAGCGCGGGCCUGAGUCAUAUCUUUUUUGCCUUCGGUUUUUCUCUUGUUAGUCUCCUGGGCCAAAUAAUUGCUGUUUAUAGACAGUGUUCCCCUGAGUGGGUCUGAGUCGACUCUGAAUGUAUGUGACCAAUUCAGUGUCAUCAUUGGUUUCAAUAAUUCUAGAGCUAUCUAAUUUGUGUCCUUAAAAAAAGGAAGGGGGUGAUGGCAUUCUUGCAUUCUUGAAGGAAAAAAGAGCACCAUGGAUUUUACUCUGUGAAGCUGACUGCUUCUGCCAUGUUGUGAGGCUAAAAUGAACUGAUACCAAUUCAUUAAAAGUGGUUCAUUCAGAGCAGAUGUGUUUUGGUUAACAUGAUUACAUGAGGUUAUUAGUUUGUUCAUUUCGGUACCCUUUUCCUUAAGGGCUUUAUUUCAUGAAGUAAUUGAACAUGGCUGGAUAGAGGAAGCCAUCUGAAUUCAUUUCAUGCCAGUAAGCAACAUCAUAGGUACUUCUGUCCCAGCAACUUUUAUUUAUUGCUGUGUAACACAUUAUCUCAAAACAUAAUACCUU
rnacentral:lncRNA from 1 species